AGCGAACGCUGGCGGCAGGCUUAACACAUGCAAGUCGAGCGGGCAUCCUUGUGGUGUCAGCGGCAGACGGGUGAGUAACGCGUGGGAACGUGCCCUUCGGUUCGGAAUAACUCAGGGAAACUUGAGCUAAUACCGGAUACGUGCGAGAGCAGAAAGGUUUAUCUGCCGAAGGAUCGGCCCGCGUCUGAUUAGCUAGGUGGUGAGGUUACGGCUCACCAAGGCGACGAUCAGUAGCUGGUCUGAGAGGAUGAGCAGCCACACUGGGACUGAGACACGGCCCAGACUCCUACGGGAGGCAGCAGUGGGGAAUAUUGGACGAUGGGGGCAACCCUGAUCCAGCCAUGCCGCGUGAGUGAUGACGGCCUUAGGGUUGUAAAGCUCUUUUCUCCGGGACGAUAAUGACGGUACCGGAGGAAUAAGCCCCGGCUAACUUCGUG
rnacentral:rRNA from 1 species